AGGAUGAGUUCUGCUUAAGGACAUUUUGUGUCCUUUCAGGUAGUGCUGGGCUGUGGGCCAAUGGGAACACGCCCACCCACUAUAAAAGCUGAGAGGGGCCCCUGUACUCUUUCUCUCUUUAUCUUCUGCUGAGGCUGAAGACACGCCCCUUCCGGCUGCUCGCCCUGCUGCUCUCACCGGCAUUCAAAACAUUCGGCGCGUUACUCUGCUUGGUGUUGUGUAGCCACAUUUGGGUUGCUAAAGGAAGCCAUAGCGGCUGGACCGGCUUCUGACGUGCUCUCCUUGUCCUGUGUGUGUGUGUGUGUGCGCGUCACGCUGCUGUAACAGAGGUAGGUUCAGUUUCUUUUGUGUUGAGCAGAACUAAUUGUCCUGUUUGUAACACCGCCCUUCUGUUUUCCCAUGCUGUUUAGUGGCAGCACCAAGGACCCGCUGCUGCUUUGCUUGGCUGCUGCUUUGCUCGCUGCUUUGUGUACUGCAUGUGUACCGCUGUGCUUCGCUUCGCCUGGCCGUGUAUCUGUGGCCUGCUACACGGCUAACCGGGGCUAGCUGCUGUUAUCUCUCUGCCUCACUCGCCUGGCCUACCUCUAUCCGGUGUCAGCCGGGUUUGGACCAAGCAAGUUAUGAACUGGGUUAUUUUUAACUGUGUUUAGCUCUGUGAUUUUAAUUGUUGCCUUGUCUGUUUUUUUUUAUCUGCGCCCACAGUGGGGGACACAGUGUUAUUCGUUGGACAUUAGUUGGGUUUUGUUGUUUUUCUGUUUUGCCUUAUGCCCCUUAUUGGUUUAAUGUCCAGCUAGUAUUGAUUUGUUUUUUUCUGUUCUUAUUCUGAGCCUUAUUUGUUUUUUGGAUAUUUGUUUUCUAGGUUAAAAUAUUCAUUCUGAUUUGGUUAUUAGUUUAGUUCUUUUUUGUUUCUGUGUUCUCCACUGAUUCCCUUCUAUGUUUCAGAGGCUGUGUACCUGUGGUCGGGACGUGGUGUCGUCGGUGGUGGUCCCCCUCCCCGUGUGAAGUGUGAACCCUGGUUUUUUGGUUUAGUUUUGCACGUGUGUGUGAUUUAUUUAUUUAUUUUUCUUUAUUCACUUGGUGACCUCUCCCUGGGCCCUGUUCCUCCCCUCCGUCGACACACCGCCACAUGGUAAGCAGACCUCUGACCCUUUGCACCCCUUUUAUCCUUAUUUUAUCAUGUGUUAAUUGAUUUUAAUUAGUGGUGUAAAUAAAAUUGGAUUAUUGUACGGGAACAA